rnacentral:rRNA from 1 species
AGAGUUUGAUCAUGGCUCAGGAUGAACGCUAGCUACAGGCUUAACACAUGCAAGUCGAGGGGAAACGACAUCGAAAGCUUGCUUUUGAUAGGCGUCGACCGGCGUACGGGUGAGUAACGCGUAUCCAACCUGCCCACCACUUGGGGAGUAACCUUGCGAAAGUAAGACUAAUACCCAAUGACGUCUCUAGAAGACAUCUGAAAGAGAUUAAAGAUUUAUCGGUGAUGGAUGGGGAUGCGUCUGAUUAGCUUGUUGGCGGGGUAAUGGCCCACCAAGGCGACGAUCAGUAGGGGUUCUGAGAGGAAGGCCCCCCACAUUGGAACUGAGACACGGUCCAAACUCCUACGGGAGGCAGCA